CUCCUCUGGAGUUGUGCUAUACCCUUCGUAAUAAAGAAAAAGAAACAGGAAAGCAAGGCGAUGCAGGACGGCCUCGUGACAGACACAUUUGGGGAGGGAGGAAGAGAAGUCUCGAGCCUUCUGGAGACAUAAGCAUAUUCCGAAGCAGACCUACCAUCUCAUCUUGGUGGCAGUAGCAACCUUCCUGAUGCUCUUCUCCCCACUCCGCUGCAGCAUUUCUUCUGUGAAGGCAGUGGAGAUUGAGUUCAAAAUCACCUUUUGCUGCUUUGUGUAUAGGAUGGAGUGAGAUUUGGGGUAUUUGAAUUUUUGGAUAUUUGACAGGCAGCAGAUUCUUGAAGAAUGAAGGCUGAGUGUACUGACUUGCCUACAAGACUACUGACAAGUCGUCAUCAGAGCUAGCCCUAGAACUCAGCUGCAGGAGAGAAAUUGAUUUUGAGAAGGAGAAUUCCUUUCCAAAGGAUUUUAAAAAAACAAUGAACAGCAACAAAACAACUAGCAAGAGCAGAGAAGGAAAAGAGCAUCUUCUUUCUGAUGGAAUGUGUGUGAUGCGUGGAAAUCUGUUUGAAAAACGGAGUUCUUAAGUUCAUACAAAUUUCUAAGAAUUUACAAAACCAAAAUGGAGAUCAGAACAGGAUCGGAAUAAGAAUCAACACUACAUCCUGGUAUAAAACAUCUUUUUCAAAAGUUCUGGAAACAAACUGACAUCUAUUCGUCUUUGUAAUGCUUGAGCCUUGCCAGAACUUCUGCAGUUUUGAAAACUCAAUUAGAUUUUCAGGAAUGCUUACGUAAGGGACCUAUGUAAAUUUAACUGCUAGCAAUUUUGUGGGAAGCGAGUGUCAGCAUGGCUAAUGUGUACAUGUUUCCCUUUCCUUCAAAAAACGCUCUGUCAGACAACGAGAUCCAUGAGCUCAGUUGUUCUGACUGCAGUUCAAAAGAGCUCUUCCUUUCUCUUAGAUCUCCUCUUUGUUGUUUCCAUCUCCAAUUAUGGUGUUGGGACUCAUGUCAGAUCAUUGCAGCCUAACCUCACUGGUUGGAGACAGAAAUAAUCAUGAGGAGAGAAUUACAAUUACCAUUUGGGACAGUUUCCAUGUGGCUGGGGGAACUGAACUUCACACUUCUUCCAGGUCCUGUCUUAGCAAUGUAGUCUAAAUGUCCAUGUGGGUUCAUACAGCAGAGAAGACCCUUCACAAUGAGGAACAGGCAGCAAGCUGUCUCCCCUCACACACUGCCUUCCUCCUCUGUUCACUAUCAGGUCACUUUGUACUUUCUGCGCGGUAUUGGAGCUUGUCUAAUGCACUGCAAUAGGAAAACAUAGCUUUCCAGCUCAGUGGAAACAGAGAAGGAGACAGAGGCUAAUGGGAUUAGGAAAGCUCCUGGCUCUAUAAUUACGUUGUACAGACACUUCCCAUUGCUACGAUAUUAUUAAGUCAGACAUCUCUCCAUUUGUAACAGCAAGAUUUUAUUUCUCUAUAUCACAUAGCAAAUAUUAACCACUUGAGCUCAUAUUUGCUGCCUAAGACUGACUGGGAAGAACUAUUCCAGUAAAAAAGCA